AUUCACAAAAUAUAUAGUUUCAUCUCUAAUACAAGUCAUUUCUUAAAGCAGCUGCUCGCUGUAGUUUCUAUCAAACUUUACUCAAGCACGAGGAAAUAGUGUCUUGUCAGGGACUAUUUUCAGCGGCGGAUUAAUCCACAUUUGGCGCUCUCAUGAGAAUGUGUGGCAGCAGGACAGUGUGUGUGUGUGAGUGAAAACAAACCACGGUGUGUGUUUAUGGUAAUGAAGGAACAUGUGUGUUUUUGAUAGUAACAACAACGGAGCUCUUUGGCAGAGAAGAAGAAGAAUAUCAGGCUGUGGAGGAAUCUCGUGAUCUCUUAAUGAAUCUCUUAAUUUAAAAGUGUCAGAGUUUGAUAUUUAGACCAGCAGCUGGUCGGGAUGCAUUUAUUCACGGUCGUCCUGAAAUACACAACAAACCUCAGCGUCAGAUCAGAGAACGCAAGCAGAGCGAGGUGAAAGUUGGCAGAAGGUCUGGAACAGAAUGACGUGUGUUUACUGGACGGAUCAGAGGUUUUUGUUUUCGGUCAACGGAUCAGAGCGAACACGAUGACGAGAGAGAGAAACACACACAAAGAGAGAAGAAGAGUUUGUAGUGAGUUCAGCUCAAACUGAAACCAUGGAGGACCUCUGGUGAGCACCACCCGACACGUGGCCCCGCGGCAACUUGAGACAAAUCAUUUCCAUGGCGAGGGCCAACUGAAAGGGUCGGUACGUCCUGCUCGGGGAAGGCUCGCCAAGAGGAUAGGUUUGGCGGGAAGUCUGUGUGUGCGUGCGCGUGAGAGAAAGAGAGAAAGCACAAAACAGAGGGUGUGUGUUUGUAUAGAUAAUAAAAAAGAAUCUGAUCUUUUGUGUGUGUGUGUGUGUGUGUGUGUGUGUGUGUGUGUGUGUGUGUGUGUGCAUAUAAUGUAAUCAGGGAAUGAUCUUGUCAUGAAGGAAAUCAGAAAGACUCUGUGUUCCUGUUUAAUAUAAUUCAAAGUUUCAAGGUCAAAGGUCGUGG
rnacentral:lncRNA from 1 species